rnacentral:rRNA from 1 species
GACGAACGCUGGCGGCGUGCUUAACACAUGCAAGUCGAACGAAGUGGCGAACGGGUGAGUAACGCGUAAUCAACCUGCCCUUCAGAGGGGGACAACAGUUGGAAACGACUGCUAAUACCGCAUACUGAAGGAGGGGAUUGGGUCUGAUUAGCUAGUUGGAGGGGUAACGGCCCACCAAGGCGAUGAUCAGUCGCCGGUCGGGGGGGAUAACCGCCAACAUGGGGACUGGGACACGGCCAGGACUCCUACGGGAGGCGGCAGUGGGGAUUUUUCCCCAAUGAACGAAGUCUGGACGGGCAAAUGCGGCGGAGGGGUUGAGGGCCUCCGGGUUGUAAGUCUGUUUAAUCGGGGAGGGGUACCGGAAUGGAAGGCCCGGCUUACUACGUGCCAGCCGCCGCGGUAAUAC